GCCUUUAUUUUCGGCAGCUACCGUUCAAAGUCUCUUCUGCUUGGCUGCCGGGAAAAUCCAAGAAAGUUUUGAGAAUUCAAAACACCCAGUCUCGUUCUCAACAAGCGGUUCUUGUUUGAAGACUUUUGGAACCGAUUUUCUCGGAAAAUUUGAUCGCUUUCUUUUUGCAUCCCUGUGCGAUACUCUUAAACUGAGGAACUGUAAGGAGACAGAGACGACGAAGACGAAGAAGAAUACGAGCUCGACAGGAAAUCAUGUCCUUGUUGAGAUAAAUUCUGUUAUAUGCUAUGGAGAUAGAUCUUGAAAUUCCUUCGUAUGAUCGGACCUUGGACAGUGGAUCAAAUGUGAAUGCCGAUGGCGGUGAUAGUUUGGAUGGAAUGGAUGUUCGUGAUGUUGAAAUGGAUCUUCCAACGAGAAGUGGUAAUGCGAUUGAAAUUUGUGAGCCGAGCACAAGUGGCAGCAUUGGUGGCAGUCUAGAGCAGUUUGCAACUGUCGAUGAUGUCAAUGGUGGUGCCAUUAACGAACCUAGAAAUGGUUUGGAGUUUGACUCGAAAGAGGCUGCUUACUAUUUCUACAGGGAAUACGCUCGAUCUGUUGGAUUUGGGAUCACGAUAAAAGCCAGUCGGCGCUCAAAAAAAUCUGGAAAGUUUAUUGAUGUGAAAAUAGCAUGUUCAAGAUUCGGAGCUAAGCGUCAGCCUGGCACAGGUGUAAACCCAAGGUCAUGCCCAAAAACGGGUUGCAAGGCAGGGAUGCAUAUGAAGAGGAAGGAAGAUGAGAAAUGGGUUAUCUGUAAUUUCGUGAAAGAACAUAACCAUGAGAUUUGUCCAGAUGAUUUUUAUAUUGGUGUCGGAGGAAAAAAGAAGCAGGCUGGUGAUGUAGUACAUCAAAAGAAAGGCCUUCAAUUGGCUCUAGAAGUGGAAGACAUAAAUUUAAUGCUUGAUCAUUUCAUGGCUAUGCAGGAACAGCAGCCAGGUUUCUUCUAUGCAAUAGAUUUGGAUGGUGAGAAACAUGUAAGAAAUGUCUUUUGGCUCGAUUCAAAGGCCAAGCACUGCUACGACAGCUUUUCAGAUGUUGUCCUAUUCGAUACAUUUUAUGUUAGGAACGGAUACAAAGUUCCAUUUGCUCCUUUUGUUGGAGUCAGUCAUCACUGUCAGUACGUUUUGCUUGGGUGUGCUUUAAUUGGAGAAGAGAGUGCAUCUACAUUUUCCUGGUUAUUUCGGACAUGGCUCAAAGCAAUAGGUGGUCAGGCUCCUAAAGUGAUUAUAACAUAUCAGGACAAGCUUCUAAGCGAAGUCAUUAUGGAAAUCUUGCCCACUGCUCGUCACUGUUUCUGUUUAUGGAAUUUGCUGGGUGAGCUUCCUGAGAAGUUGAUUUCUUUUGUGGAUCAAUAUGACGAUUUCAUGAAAAGUUUUCGAGAAUGUAUUCAUGGCUCUUGGACAGAUGAGCAAUUUGAAAGGAGGUGGUCAGAAAUGGUUGGUAAAUUUGAACUCAAUCGCAACGAAUGGGUUCUUUCGUUGUUUAAUGAUCGAAAAAAGUGGGCACCACACUAUUUUCAGGGUAUUUGUUUAGCCGGAAUGUCUGGUCAUGAAAAGUCCGGGAGUAUUGCCUCUCGCUUUGAUAAACAUAUGGAUUCAGAAGCUACGUUCAAGGACUUCUUUAUACAGUAUACGAAUUUUCUGCGAGACACAUGUGAUGUGGAAGAAAGGUUUGAUCUUGAAUCUCAAAGCAGACAGCCUACAUUGAGAUCACUUUCACCUUUUGAGAAACAACUUUCUUUGACCUACACAGACUCUGCUUUCAAGAAGUUCCAAGCUGAGGUACUUGGAGUUGUUUCUUGUCAGCUGCACGUAGAAAGAAAAGAUGGGACAAAUGUGAUAUUCCAUGUCGAAGAUUUCGAAGAACGUGAAAAUUUCUAUGUGGUUUGGAACAAGGAGCUGUUGGAUGUGCAUUGCUCUUGUCAUUUGUUCGAGCUCUGGGGCUUCCUCUGCAAACAUGCAAUCCUUGUUCUUCAAACCUCGGAUGUUUCAAGCAUCCCGUCCCAGUAUAUAUUGAAGCGUUGGUCAAAGAAUGGUAACACCAGUGAUAACAGAAACGGAAAAUGUGACAGUAUACACAGCCGGAUGGCACGUUUUGAUGAUCUUUGUAGACGUUUUGUCAAGCUAGGGGAAGUGGCGUCUUUGUCAGAUGAAGCAUAUAAGACUGCUUUUAAGGUGUUGGAAGAAACCUUGACUCACUGUGUCAGAGUGAACAAUUCUGCCAAGUUUCCUCCGGAACCAAGCAGGUUAAUGACAUCUAGACAUUUUGACGAAGGAGGUGAAGAUCUGCUGGAUAGUACAUCGAGAUCGUCGAAGAAAAAGAAAGUUCAUAAGAAAAGGAAGGCAUACUCUGGGCCAGAGGAUACAGCGAACAGGUCACAAGAGCACUGUCAGGACACUCAGGAACACGUUAGCUACAGAGCAGCAAGCUUUGAGAACUGUUACAUUCCUCGAGCAGAUAUGGAGGAAGAGCCGGAACUAGGCUCUCGAGCAGCAACUGUUGGUGUCUAUUAUCCUACUCCACAGCCUAUUCAAGGAUUUUCUUCUGUUCCUUCCAUCCAGGACGGGUACUACGGAAAUCCACCGGCCAUGCAAGUGAUGAUGGGGAACGUGAACAUGGGGCAUGCACGAAUGAGUCAGUCCCAGACCCAACCGAGCGUCCAAGGAAGGAACUGUAUGUCCACAUGUUUCAUUUCACGCGUCUUUCUUCUUCAUAAGACAGGCAAACAUUGAUCCAAGAAUGCAGAGGUGGUCACUUUCUUUGCACUGUGUUUGUGUAGUUCCAGGGACAGACCAGUUUCAGGGGAACCCCUACUCGAGGCUGUUUUGACGUCGGAGGAAUUACUUUGCCAGUCGGUGGAUUCUUUACGGUUUCAGAGUUUUGUUUUUUUUUUGGUUAAAUGGUGUCAGAGUUCCAUGGACGGGAGAUCAAUGGUUACACAUUUCCCGUUAUAUACGGAUGACGUGAAUUAGUUUCACCUAUUGGGCUGUAAUAUGGGCCUUGAGGCCCAUUCACGAGAAGUGUGAUAAUUAUACGGAUGACGUGUGAAUUCGUAUUCGAUUUUUUAUUUUCAGUUUA